rnacentral:rRNA from 1 species
AGAGCGAACGCUGGCGGCAGGCCUAACACAUGCAAGUCGAGCGCCCCGCAAGGGGAGCGGCAGACGGGAGAGUAACACGUGGGAACGUACCCUUCAGUUCGGAACAACCCAGGGAAACUUGGGCUAAUACCGGAUACGUCCGUAAGGAGAAAGAUUUAUCGCUGAAGGAUCGGCCCGCGUCUGAUUAGCUUGUUGGUGAGGUAACGGCUCACCAAGGCUACGAUCAGUAGCUGGUCUGAGAGGAUGAUCAGCCUCACUGGGACUGAGACACGGCCCAGACUCCUACGGGAGGCAGCAGUGGGGAAUAUUGGACAAUGGGCGCAAGCCUGAUCCAGCCAUGCCGCGUGGGUGAUGAAGGCCCUAGGGUUGUAAAGCCCUUUCGGCGGGGAAGAUAAUGACGGUACCCGCAGAAGAAGCCCGGCUAACUUCGUGCCAGCAGCCGC